ACCGAUCUCAUGCCGGAGAGAUGUUGCUUAGCCACUGGAUUGGCUUCAUCAUUUUGCUUCCUUGAAAUAUAAUGUAGUAUUACCAUAUGGUGAUCCAAAAUGCUAGUUAUCUUCUUGAUUGCAUUCUCCAGUUUCCUUGAACCAUCAUCUUUAUCCAAGGUUGGCCACUAGUAAAGCUUCCAAAGAGAAUAAUCUUGGUCUUCCAUAAGCCAUGAUUACAGAUCCACUGGAAGCUUAUCACCUUAUUUUGGAUUCUGACAUAG
rnacentral:lncRNA from 1 species